rnacentral:rRNA from 1 species
UACGUAGGGUCCGAGCGUUGUCCGGAAUUAUUGGGCGUAAAGGGCUCGUAGGCGGCUUGUCACGUCGGGUGUGAAAGCCCGGGGCUUAACCCCGGGUCUGCAUUCGAUACGGGCAGGCUAGAGUGUGGUAGGGGAGAUCGGAAUUCCUGGUGUAGCGGUGAAAUGCGCAGAUAUCAGGAGGAACACCGGUGGCGAAGGCGGAUCUCUGGGCCAUUACUGACGCUGAGGAGCGAAAGCGUGGGGAGCGAACAGG